UAGAACUCAAAGUUCUCCUGAGGU
rnacentral:piRNA from 1 species